GCCAGCUCUGUCACUUAAGAACUGGUGCUCAACAUAGGCUUACGUACUAUGUUGACUAACACCAUUGAGGUCCCAGGGAAAUUCUCCUUCAUACAAACUCUUGCCCUGUGUCCUUGAAACAAAGGCAACUGUAACUGAAUGCCACGAAUUUGAGGGUUGUGCUGCUGCCUGGGUUGGACUUGCUUGGGAGGGAAACAAAGACAUGAUUAAAAAAAUUGGCUCUGCAUUCCUUUGGAAACAAAGAGUGAGAGGGUAAUCAUAGUUGGGCACAGAGGAAAGGGGCUGGAUCCUGAGUAUGGAUGGAGAUUCACGUCCUAGAGGAGCUUCCGAGCGCUAUGGUGCAUGGUGUUUCCGUGAACCUGAGGGGCCGUCUUGGGGUGGGACAGUUUGCUCUCCCACACCCAAGGUACUCAACAAAAGGCAGACAUAACCAUGACACAGCUUUAAAGAAAGAAGUUUGGGAGAUGUUGACAUUUGCAUUUUUUUUUUCUUAUAAGAAUGGACAUAGGAGAUGGUAGAUAGAAUAUUGUGGCUGGGAGGUUCCCUACUCAACUAAACCCAUAGUCCUGUAAUUAAAUCUGUAUCUCUUCAGAAGAUUAUGACCCAUCCAAAGAAUUCCACGCUUCACUUUUGAGUGAUGUGGAGGGCAGCAGGCCUGCUCUCAUAAAUGUGUUUUUACUAUAAGCAUUUAUUAUACCAUCCUCUUACUUAGUUGUUAAAAUUUCCAUAUAGCAUUUAUUAAGGUAAAUGCCUUGUUUUAUAGAAUUUAAAAAAUUGAGGUGAAAUUCACAUAAGAUAAAAUUAGCAAUUUUAAAGUGAAAAAUUCAGAGGCAUUUAUACAUUCACAAUGUUGAAAAGUCACACCUUUAUCUAAUUCUAAAACAUUUUCUUCACCCCAAAAGGGAACCCCCUAUCCAUUAAGCAGUUGCUCCCUAUUCUCCUCUUUCCCUAGCUCCAUGCAACCAUCAAUUGGCAUUCUGUCUCUAUGAAUUCACCUAUUCUGAUAUUUAAUAUAAAUGGAAUUAUAUAAGCCCAGAAAUAAACCUCCACAUAUACAGUCAACAAAUCUUUCGUAAGGGCAUUAGGAACACACAGUGGGGAAAGGAUAAUCUCUUUAAAAAAUGGUGCUGGGAAAACAAUAUCCAUGUGAAAAAGAAUGAAAUUAGAUUCUUACUUUACACCAUAUACAAAAAUUAACUCAAAAUGGAUUAAAGACAUAAAUAUAAGACUUAAAAUCAUAAAAUGUCUAGAAGAAAACAUAGGGAGAAAGUUCCUUGACAUUCGUUGGUGAUGAUUUUUUGGAUAUGACAUCAAAAGCACAGGAAACAAAAGGAAAAAUAAGCAAGUGGGACUCCAGCAAACUAAAAAUCUCCUGCACAGCAAAGGAAACAACCUGCAAAAUGAAAAGACAACCUCCUGAAGUGGCAGAUCAAAAGAGAAAAGAAAAAAAAUUAAGAAAAAAGAAAAGACAACCUACAGAAUGGGAAAAUAUAUUUGCAGACCAUAUAUCUUAUAAGGGGUUAAUAUCCAAAAUAUAUGAGGAACUCAUACCACUCAAUAGGAAAAAAUCAAAUACCUUGAUUAAAAAAUGGUUGCAAAGAACCUGAAUAGACAUUUUUCCAAAGAAGAUACGCAAAUGGCCAACAGGUAUAUGAAAAGAUGCUUAAUUUUGCUAAUCAUCGGGGAAAUACAAAUCAAAACCACAAUGAGAUAUCACCUCACACCUGUCAGGACAGUUAUUAUUAAGAAAAAAAACCCAAGAGAUAACAGGUGUUGGUGAGGAUGUGGAGAAAUUGGAACCCUCGUCCACUGGGAAUGUAAAUUGGUAUAGCCAUUGUGGGAAACAGUGUGGAGGUUCCUCAAAAAAUUAAAAAUAGAACUACCAUACAAUCAAGCAAUCCACUUCUGAGUAUAUAUCCAAAGGAAAUGAAAUCAGUAUUUUGAAGAGAUAUCUGCAUCUUCAUGCUUAUUGCAGCAUUAUUCACAAUAGCCAAGAUAGAAAGACAACCCACUGACGGAUGAAUGGAUAAAGAAAAUGGAGUACACUUCAGCCAUAAAAAGAAGGAAAUCCUGCCAUUUGUGACAACAGGGAUGAACCUGGAGGGGACAUUAUGCUAAGUGAAAUGAGCCAGACACAGAAAGACAAAUACUGUAUGAUCUCAUUUAUGUGUGGGAUAAAAGAGCUGGACUCCUAGAAGCAGAGAGUAGAAUGGUGGUUGCCAGGGGGCUGAGAGGUUGGGGGAAAUGGGGAGAUGCUGGAUAAGAGUACACACUUUCAGUUAUAAAAUGAAUAAGUUUUGUGGAUAUAAUGUGCAGCAUGGUGGCUAUAGUUAAUGAUACUGUAUGAUUUAUUUGAAAUUUGCUAAGAGUAGAUCUUUAUUUAUUUAUUUAUUUAUUUUUUUAGUAGAGACAAAGUCUUACUAUGUUGCCCAGGCUGGUCUUGAACUUCUGGACUCAAGCAAUCUUCCCACCUCAGCCUCCUAAAGUGCUGGGAUUAUGAGUGUGAGCCACCACACCUAGCCAAGAGUAAAUCUUAAGUGUUUUCACCACACACAUGUGCACACACACAUAAAAUGGUGAUAGUUGUGUUAAUUUGAUUGUGGCAAUCAUUACACAAUUUACACAUGUAUGAAAUCAUCAUGUUAUACACCUUGGAUAUAUAAAAUUUUAUUUGUCAACUGUACCUCAAUAAAGCUGGAAAAAUAAAAGAAUAAUGACCAUUAAAGAAAAAAAAGAAAUUAUACAAUAUGUGAC
rnacentral:lncRNA from 10 species